ensembl:lncRNA
GUUUCAUAUGUGGACGGAUCACACGCUCUCAACUCUUGGACUGUGUACUUUAUCUAAAGAAUGCUGCUGUCUCUGGGAAUUAUGUCUCGACAAAAGCAGAAUUUGCUGUGGCUGAUGAUCAUCUGUUGUGCUACGUGCCAGAUAACAAGUUCAGAAAACUCGACAGAUCAGUGUUUCUGGAACAGCAGUAGCUCAACACAAGUUAUUGAAUGGACCUGUCCAUCAGUUGAUGAAAAAAUGAAUCAGGAAGAUGAGGAUGAAGGUGUUGAACCCUCAGAAGCAUCAGACGCCUUGGACGAACUGGAGUCUGACAUGGAAGAAAUGGAAAAUAACAAUAUAAGCAAUGCAUCAUAUCAUCAAAUCAGAACACGAUAAACGUAAGGCCUGAGAAAGAUUACAGCAUGUCUAAGUUAGGAUUCUUUAUUAAUCAAGGUACAUUUUCUUUUCACAGGAUGUUGACUGUCAAAGUAUCCCAAAUACAAACUUUUCAUGGGCUGUAAAGAUUCCCAAGGAAGCAGUGUAUAAAUCACGACGGGAAAACAAUGGAUGUGCGUUUGUUGCAGUUCUACGGUUCAUAAAUAUGAGAAACAAGGUACUCACAAU